AAUUUGUUUAUAGAUCUUGCAAUCACCACAUAACUUUUCUCCGUGUUUUAGUCUUACUCACACACGGUACCGCGAAUAACUUCUGAUAGGUUACGCAUCCUUCCAAUACUCCAACUCAAUCACAUUUUGACUCGGGAGUUUUAAAAGGAAAAAGUACGUUACAUAUUGAUUGAGAUUUGAAAGGUAAAAUCAGUUGGAUAGACGCAAUAUAACACUCAGUUGUCGUUUCUUUAUAAACACAUGACGGACACGACACGACACGACACGACUCUGUAACAGAAAUUUUAUAAGAUUAAUUUCAUAACAAAAAAAAACAAAAAAAGCUUCGAGUCUCUCUGACCAAAAGAGAGAUGAGUUUUGUUGUACGUCUUGCUGUGUUUCUUCUGUUGACGCUUACAGUUACAUCUUCAUCCCCUAGUUCCGUUUCUGUUCCAGUUGUUGGGAAGAUUGGAAUCGAAAGGAGGUCGUUGAUAGUCAACGUCAAGGAUUAUGAUGGUCCGUCUGCAAACCCAAAACACAAUCCAGGCACUCCUCCGGUUACUAUCAGCCAACGCAGCCCCGGCAGAGGGUGACCUACCACUUUAAUUAACCCACAAGGGAAGAAGAAAUGAAUCUCUCAGUUUUACAUGUUCAGUUUGUCCGAGAUGAAGAAAUGAAAAUUCUCUGUUUCUACUACACCUUUCUCCAAUAUGUAUAUUGAUAUCAAUAUGUGUCUUGUCAUUUCCACACAAUUUCUUAUAAAUAAAGUUUCUUGAA